rnacentral:rRNA from 1 species
UCCGUAGGCGGUGUGGCAAGUCGGUAGUGAAAUCUCUCGGCUUAACUGAGAGGCUGCUGCCGAAACUGCCAUGCUCGAGUGCGAGAGAGGCGAGUGGAAUUGCGGGUGUAGCGGUGAAAUGCGUAGAUAUCCGCAGGAACAUCCGAGGCGAAAGCGGCUCGCUGGAUCGCAACUGACGCUGAGGGACGAAAGCUAGGGGAGCAAACAGGAUUAGAUACCCUGGUAGUCCUAGCCCUAAACCAUCAGGACUUGGGGUUUGCCCUGUACGGGGCAAGUCCCGGAGCUAACGCGUUAAGUCCUGCGCUUGGGGAGUACGGUCGCAAGGCUGAA